UGACCAGACUCCUACGGGAGGCAGCAGUGGGGAAUCUUCCGCAAUGGGCGAAAGCCUGACGGAGCAACGCCGCGUGAUCGAAUGAAGGCCUUCGGGUUGUAAAGAUCUGUUGACAGGGACGAAUAAGCAAUGCGAAUAGUUUUGUGUAUGACGGUACCUGUUUAGAAAGCUCCGGCUAACUACGUGCCAGCAGCCGCGGUAAUACGUAGGGAGCAAGCGUUGUCCGGAAUUACUGGGCGUAAAGGGCGCGUAGGUGGGCGCUUAAGUCAGGUGUGAAAACUCCGGGCUCAACCUGGAGACUGCACUUGAAACUGGGUGUCUUGAGGGCAGGAGAGGAAAGUGGAAUUCCUAGUGUAGCGGUGAAAUGCGUAGAUAUAUGGAGGAACACCGGUGGCGAAAGCGGCUCUCUGGCCUGUAACUGACACUGAGGCUCGAAAGCGUGGGGAGCAAACAGGAUUAGAUGCCCUCGUAUA
rnacentral:rRNA from 1 species